AACGAACGCUGGCGGCAUGCCUAACACAUGCAAGUCGAACGAGACCUUCGGGUCUAGUGGCGCACGGGUGCGUAACGCGUGGGAACCUGCCCUUAGGUUCGGAAUAACUCCCUGAAAGGGGUGCUAAUACCGGAUAAUGUCUUCGGACCAAAGAUUUAUCGCCUUUGGAUGGGCCUGCGUUGGAUUAGCUAGUUGGUAGGGUAAAAGCCUACCAAGGCGACGAUCGAUAGCUGGUUUGAGAGGAUGAUCAGCCACACUGGGACUAAGACACGGCCCAGACUCCUACGGAAGGGAGGAGAGGGGAAUAUAGUACAAGGGGCGAAAGCGUGAACCAGCAAUGCCGGGUAAGUGAUGAAGGCCGUAGGGUUGUAAAGCUCUUUUACCCGAGGUGAUAAUGACAGUACCGGGAGAAUAAGCACCGGCUAACUCCGUG
rnacentral:rRNA from 1 species